AGUGAACGCUGGCGGCAGGCAUAACACAUGCAAGUCGAAAGAGUGGCGGACGGGUGCGGAAUACAUGGGAAACUACUCUGUCGGGGGGGAUAAAUUAGGGAAACUUACGCUAAUACCGCAUACGAUUGAAUGAGCCGAGGUCGGAUUAGCUAGUGGGGGGGGUAAAGGCACACAAAGGCGACGAGCCGUAGCUGGUCUGAGAGGAUGAGCAGCCACACUGGAACGGAGACACGGUCCAGACUCCGACGGGAGGCAGCAGUGGGGAAUAUUGGACAAUGGGCGCAAGCCUGAUCCAGCCAUACCGCGUGGUUGAAGAAGGCCUUCGGGUUGUAAAGCACUUUUGUUGGGAAAGCGGUACCCAAAGAAUAAGCACCGGCUAACUUCGUGCCAGCAGCCGCGGUAAUAC
rnacentral:rRNA from 1 species